UACGGAGGGAGCUAGCGUUGUUCGGAAUUACUGGGCGUAAAGCGCACGUAGGCGGCUUUGUAAGUUAGAGGUGAAAGCCCGGGGCUCAACCCCGGAAUUGCCUUUAAGACUGCAUCGCUUGAAUCCGGGAGAGGUGAGUGGAAUUCCGAGUGUAGAGGUGAAAUUCGUAGAUAUUGGGAAGAACACCGGUGGCGAAGGCGGCUCACUGGCUCGUAUCUGACGCUCAGGCGCGACAGCGUGGGGAUCAAACAGG
rnacentral:rRNA from 1 species